rnacentral:misc_RNA from 1 species
AUGCGCCAAAGCCAAAAAUCAGUGAAAAAAUAGCCAUGGAAACUCGAAUUGGCAACUCCCUUAGCCUCCUUCUACGAGACCCCAAUGACCUCAAAACUGACUUCAACUCCCUCUUCAACAAUCUCAACACUUCCCUUUUUUCCACCCCAAUUCUACAUCACAAGAACCCCAAAUCAACAAAUCAUCAUUUCAGUCCCAAUUUCAAGUUUUGUUCAACUUCUGUUUCAAUUGAAGCACAAAUCAAGAACCCCACUUCGAAUUUUCUAAAACCUGCUACUAGGGACUCCUCAAAAGUUCAGGUUCUGUUCAAGAAUCUUUCUGUUGUUGAAAGAGCGCUUAUUGGUGCAGCUGGUGGUGGCAUUGCUGGUGCAUUCACGUAUGUAUGUCUUCUUCCUCUUGACACAAUCAAAACUAAGCUUCAAACUAAAGGGGCAUCGGAAAUUUACAGUGGAGCUAUUGAUGCUUUUGUCAAGACUUUUCAAAGUAAGGGGAUUCUUGGGUUUUACAGUGGUAUUUCAGCUGUAAUUGUUGGGUCUACUGCUUCUUCUGCUGUGUAUUUUGGGACUUGUGAGUUUGGAAAGUCAAUCUUGUCGAAAUUUCCGCAAUACCCAUCUGUGCUUAUCCCACCAACAGCUGGUGCAAUGGGGAAUAUAGUAUCAUCUGCUAUAAUGGUGCCGAAGGAGUUGAUUACUCAGAGAAUGCAGGCUGGGGCUAAAGGGAGGUCUUGGCAGGUGUUAAUGAGAAUCUUGGAAAAAGAUGGAAUUUUGGGGUUGUAUGCUGGAUAUAGUGCUACAUUGUUGAGGAAUUUGCCUGCUGGGGUUUUGAGUUAUUCAUCAUUUGAGUACUUGAAAGCCGCAGUAUUGAGUAAUGUGAAGAAGGAACGUUUGGAGCCAUUUCAGAGUGUUUGUUGUGGGGCAUUGGCUGGUGCAAUAUCAGCUUCACUAACAACCCCUUUGGAUGUGGUGAAGACUAGGUUGAUGACUCAAGUUCAUUCUGAAGCUGCCAAUAAGGUUGGUGCUGUAAUGGUUACUGGCGUCUCAGCUACUGUUAGACAGAUAUUGACGGAAGAAGGCUGGGUUGGAUUUACGCGGGGAAUGGGUCCUAGAGUACUUCAUAGUGCUUGUUUUUCAGCUCUCGGGUACUUUGCAUUUGAGACGGCUAGGCUUACAAUUUUGGAUCAGUAUUUGAAGCAUAAGGAGCUAGAGACUCUGGUUCCUGAGGAGGAUGCAACCCAGGCCAACUAGAAUGUAUGAGUAAUGGUUCUUACAUCCAGCUGUUACAACCUUUUAUGCAUUGAACGAAGCAGUAGCCCUGUUCGGGACUUCUCUCUUCAGUUCCCAUGCCUGUCAUCGGCAGCAAGAAUCCUACCUUGUAAUUCCUGUAACUAGUUCAGAGACAUAGCCAUUUUACGUCAAUGAAUAGUAUACAAUAAAUAAUCAUAUCGGAAAGAGUAUCUUUCCCUAGGUAAAAGCUCAUAGUUGUGCUCCCUCCUUGGACUAAAUUUUCAUCUUUAGAAAAGCUUCCAUGCUGAUUGUAUUUAAGUCAAGAAAAAAGGCUUGUUUGUUGCUCCAAAAUACCAACAUUUUCAGUAGUUCCAUCAAUGAAGAAUUUUUG